rnacentral:misc_RNA from 1 species
CAUCAAUGCAAUUGAUGAUAUAUAAAUUUUAUUAAUCUCUUUGAUGUAAGUAUUGACAGGUUGAGGAAAUCCAGGAUAGAAUGGAGCAGGAUUACAAUGUUGGUACUACCAUGUCAUUUCUCAUGCUGUGUCAUGGUUUACGGGUGAGGCUGUUGAUGAUGAAUUAGAUGUAGAAGAUGACAAUGACAAUGACAAUGACAAUAAUGAUGACGACAACAAUGAUAUUGAUGAAGAUAAAGAUGAAGAUGACAAUGAAGAUGAUGAGGAUGAGGA